UACAGAGGUGGCAAGCGUUGUUCGGAAUUACUGGGCGUAAAGGGCGCGUAGGCGGCCUUCUAAGUCAGACGUGAAAUCCCCCGGCUUAACCUGGGAACUGCGUCUGAUACUGGGGGGCUAGAGUAUGGGAGAGGGAUGUAGAAUUCCAGGUGUAGCGGUGAAAUGCGUAGAUAUCUGGAGGAAUACCGGUGGCGAAGGCGGCAUCCUGGACCAUUACUGACGCUGAGGCGCGAAAGCUAGGGGAGCAAACGGG
rnacentral:rRNA from 1 species